rnacentral:rRNA from 2 species
GACGAACCGUGCGAACGUUGUUCGGAUUCACUGGGCUUAAAGGGCGCGUAGGCGGGCGGCAACGUCGGGGGUGAAAUCUCACGGCCCAACCGUGAAACGGCCUCCGAUACGGGCCGCCUCGAGGGAGGUAGGGGCACGCGGAACUUCCGGUGGAGCGGUGAAAUGCGUAGAUAUCGGAAGGAACGCCGGUGGCGAAAGCGGCGUGCUGGGCCUUCUCUGACGCUGAGGCGCGAAAGCCAGGGGAGCGAACGGG